rnacentral:rRNA from 1 species
UGGGGAAUAUUGCGCAAUGGGCGGAAGCCUGACGCAGCGACGCCGCGUGAGGGAUGACGGCCUUCGGGUUGUAAACCUCUUUCAGCUCUGACGAAGCGCAAGUGACGGUAGGAGCAGAAGAAGCACCGGCCAACUACGUGCCAGCAGCCGCGGUAAUACGUAGGGUGCAAGCGUUGUCCGGAAUUAUUGGGCGUAAAGAGCUCGUAGGCGGUCUGUCGCGUCGAAUGUGAAAACCCGGGGCUCAACCCCGGGCCUGCAUUCGAUACGGGCAGACUAGAGUUCGGUAGGGGAGUCUGGAAUUCCUGGUGUAGCGGUGAAAUGCGCAGAUAUCAGGAGGAACACCGGUGGCGAAGGCGGGACUCUGGGCCGAUACUGACGCUGAGGAGCGAAAGCGUGGGGAGCAAACAGGAUUAGAUACCCCCGUAGUCC